CAUUUAAGUUUAGGUCGAAAUUACAAACUGUCCAAAGUACCAUGCAGAAAAGUAAAGACUCCAGUGGAGAAGUGUGGCAGGAAGAAUUAAACUGAGGAUUUGGGAAUGCUGCGAUCGAAAAUUCAGUAUGUUACCCGGGCAGAAAGAGGAAGCCCGGAAAGAGGAAGACUGGCCCAAGAACUCGGAAGCCAAAGCAGCUAAGGCUGCUGAGUGAGGGGACAACAGGUUAAGAGAAGCUGGAAGUCAGGUGGGCCUUCAAGCAACUAUGGUG
rnacentral:lncRNA from 1 species